rnacentral:rRNA from 1 species
UACGGAGGUCUCAACCGUUGUUCGGAUUCAUUGGGCGUAAAGGGUGCGUAGGCGGUCGGGUAAGUCGGAUGUGAAAUCCCAGGGCUCAACCCUGGAGCUGCAUUCGAUACUGCCUGGCUAGGGUACUGGAGAGGAGACUGGAAUUUACGGUGUAGCAGUGAAAUGCGUAGAUAUCGUAAGGAAGACCAGUGGCGAAGGCGAGUCUCUGGACAGUUACCGACGCUGAGGCACGAAGGUCAGGGGAGCAAACGGG